rnacentral:lncRNA from 1 species
CCUACACCUCCAGCAUUGUGCUCAUCAACGGUGAGUGUCCGUGACACGUGUGGGCGCGCACACAUGCACAUGUGCACACAGACACGCCUUGUGUGGUAGGCCCCGUGCACUGCCAAGCACUCUGUCCAUGGCUGGCCUUGACAUGCAUUGGCACCUACCCGUCUUGUGGCAGACGAUUAACUGGGUGUGUCUAUGUGUGUGCACGCAUGCAUGCAGUCGCUGCCGGUGGAAGCAAAACUACAGGAGCCAGCGUGACACCAGCUGUCUGGCGCUAGAGAUGGAGGCGGGCGCGGCGGCGCCAGUGGCAUAGUUUGGCAUGGUAGCUGUGGUGGCGGCGGGCGUCAAGGUGGUGGGUCAGAGACGUUGUGCCCAGCAGACAUGCAAGUGGUUGCUGCCAGUGGCUAGUUGCACGUUCACAUGCAGACAUGACUAGGCGUAUUGUUGCAUGUACAUAUGGACUUGCGGUAGUGUUGCAUAAGUGUUGCAUGAGCAUCUGCACUUGUCGUGCUAUCAAGCCUUGACAGAUGGCUAGCAUGUGGAGUAGCGGUAGGACUACAUAGUUCUUACGUUAGUACUGAGGUAGGCCUUCAGCAAAGCACAAGGCUGCCAUGUAACGGGCGUCAAAGUGAUGGUUACUGGUGUGCCUUGUAGACCGUGACAAGGCUGUUACCAUGGCUGGUUAAGAUGGUAAGCAGAUCGUAGUGAGAUCGUAACGAUGCCGGAGGGGUAACGAUCUACGACCUAGGUAACAGCGAUCGUAACGAUCGUUUGGGUGCCAUAGGGCAUAUCACCUGCAUACACAGCACCACCGGCGUUGCAAGAGGCAUGGUGACAAGCCUUUCCCCGAGAUACAUGCUGUAUCUCACAUGCUGUAUACAUGCCCUGUCCGUUGAGCUGCCCACUGCACACAUGUCUUGGUGCUCCUUUUCAUGUGGAUUGCAUCACGAAAUCUGACUUACCACCAAAAUGCAAAAGCGCCAUUGCCAGCAGCACAUGCACCGAUGAGACGAAGGUUGACAUGAGAAUAAGGCGGCCGGGGAAUUGCAAGCAGAUAUUUGCAUGCAUAAGCAAUUGCAAACUAUUAGGACCCCGUGCGAAAGCGCAGGCAGGGCAGACGAAUGGUUGUUGACCGCGACAGGAAAACACUGCUGUAGACGUUUUGAGCUGAUACAAUGCGAGUUCUCAGUCAGAAACUUACAUUCUUGGGCCUUGAGCCUGUUUGGCCUUGAAUUUUGUGCAGGUCGGCGAAGGUCAGCGACAAAGGCCUCCACUUUGACCAAGUUUGUAGCACCUCCGCCAACCCCUCAGGCAUGCUCGCAAGCUUGUGUCUAACAUAGUUGCUAUGAAAUAGCAUCGUGCAGUAUCAUAGAGGGUUUGAGAACGUGGAACACUGCAUGCCGAUAUCGCUUGCAACAGAGAUAGGCUGUAACAGGCUAGCGAUACAUUUAACAACUUGUUAGUAUUAAAU